UACAGAGGUCUCAAGCGUUGUUCGGAAUCACUGGGCGUAAAGGGCGCGUAGGCGGCGCGGGUAGUCAUCGGUGAAAGUUCAGGGCUCAACUCUGAAUCGGCCGGUGAUACUCCCGUGCUCGAGCACUGUAGAGGCAGGUGGAAUUCCGGGUGUAGUGGUGGAAUGCGUAGAUAUCGGGAGGAACACCAGUGGCGAAGGCGGUUGCCUGGAGCUUUGCUGACGCUGAGGCGCGAAAGCGUGGGGAGCGAUCCGG
rnacentral:rRNA from 1 species